rnacentral:rRNA from 1 species
AACGAACGCUGGCGGCGUGCUUAACACAUGCAAGUCGAACUCGAAAGUUUCGUUCGGGAAAUGAGAAGAGUGGCGCACGGGUGAGUAACGCGUAAGUAAUAAUCCCUGGUAUCUGGAGUAACUCAUCGAAAGGUGUGCGAAUACCGGAUGCGCUGAGUAAUAAGGAAAGGAGGCCUCUGCAUAUGCUUCCGUACCGGGAUGAGCUUGAGUACCAGUAGCUAGUUGGUAGGGUAAUGGCCUGCCAAGGCGACGAUGGUUAGCGGGUCUGAGAGGAUGAUCCGCCACACUGGAACUGAAACACGGACCAGACUCCUACGGGAGGCAGCAGUGAGGAAUAUUGCGCAAUGGGGGCAACCCCGACGCAGCGACGCCGCGUGGAUGAUGAAGGCCUUCGGGUCGUAAAAUCCUGUCAGAUGGAAAGAAUGGCCUUUGUGCUAAUAUCACAGAGGAUUGACGGUACCAUCAAAGGAAGCACCGGCUAACUCCGUGCCAGCCGCCGCCGUAA